rnacentral:tRNA from 1 species
GGCCCGCUGCCGGGCCGCACGCUGGCCGUGCUCGAUGCGCACGGCAACCUCGCGCCGCUCGGCGCGGCGGGCGAGCUG